UGAGUAAAAGAAAUACAGAGGCAGACU
rnacentral:piRNA from 1 species